GAAGAGGCUGUAAUUUUUUUCAAGUGUAAUAAUGAAGAGAUUUCAUAUUUCUGACAGUGAUUUUAUAUGUAAAUUCAUGUACAGUCUAGAAUUUUGAAAGGGAUCUUGGCUGGGCAUGUUAAAGGAGGUCUGAUUUCUCAAAAGAGCAGGAAGUACAAAACUAUUCCUUUCAAGGACAACAAGGAUGAUGUCUUGGGGAGUACCCAAGUUGGAGUUACUUCUGGCAACUUGGAUGCCAAUUUGCUGCAGGAUCUCUCUGCUGCAGGAUGAGCAUUUUACACAACCCUGUUCCUGGGUCACUGCCUUUGAGAGGAAGGUUUUAAGGCAGCAAUUAGCAGAGAUAACAUUACUGUUCUGAAUAAUAUUGCCACAAUUUCUGGGUAUGCCAUGUCCUUCUGUCCAUCUGUCUUGAAUGCUUGCAGUGCUGCAGGGAAGAGCUGUUUUUCUUGAUAGC